rnacentral:rRNA from 1 species
UACGUAGGACCCAAGCGUUGUCCGGAUUUACUGGGUGUAAAGGGUGCGCAGGCGGGCUUGUGCGUCAGAGGUUAAAUACCACGGCUUAACCGUGGAAAUGCCUUUGAUACGGCAAGUCUUGAGUGCGAGAGAGGAUGGUGGAAUUCCUGGUGUAGCGGUGAAAUGCGUAGAUAUCAGGAGGAACACCAGUGGCGAAGGCGGCCAUCUGGCUCGCAACUGACGCUCAGGCACGAAAGCGUGGGGAGCAAACAGG